rnacentral:rRNA from 1 species
GUUGUAUAGUCAAGUAAUUAAGUGCAUGUGGUGGAUGCCUUGGCAGUCAGAGGCGAUGAAAGACGUAAUAGCCUGCGAUAAGCUCCGGGGAGGC